GUGGUAUGCACUCAUAGCAAUUGAAACUCUAGAACUUUCUUAAUUUCUUUUCAAAGUCGCAUUAGCAUUUGUGUGCAUGGAAAUUGAGGAUUUUGUCAAUUUUGUUUCCCUUCAUACUUUCCAAUUCUUUUCUUCACAAUUUUCCUUAUACAUUUUCAUCUAGCAUUUUAAUUCUUGAUCUACUUUGCUUGUCGUUCUUUCAUUGAGAGUUUUGGAUUAAUUACUUGAUGAGUUAGCUUGACUAUGGAGUUGUUUAGUGAAAUUUUGAAGCUGAAAUUUAUGUAUGCUGAUUUGUGCCAAUUGUGUGCCAACUUCUUCUUUAACUUCACAAAUCAUUGAGAAAUUCAAAUUAAUGUGUUGUAUGCUCAAUGACAAAUGGUGUAUCAUUCUUUCCAAGCUUUCAUUAAAUUGAAUGGAAUGUCAUGAGAUUUAAAAAAAAAAUUUCUGUUAUGGAAUUAUGGUCGAAAGCUGAUGUGUGCCAUUGAUAGAAAUUCCAUCAAGUUUGGUGCCACAUCCACAUUUUAGCUCUUAAUAUCAAUAGAUAGAAAUCAUCAGGGGAUGUUUGUUGAGGAGAUAGAAUGUGAAAAGUCAGAAUUCAGAAAGUGAAAUCAGUAUUUGAGGAUUGCAAUUGAGAAUUUGGAAUUGGACAGCUGAAAUGAAUGUAUCAAUCUCGUUUGUUGUGCUAAUUUCUUGCUAAAAGUUCUUGACUGGUUGAACACUUAGUGGAACUCUUAGUUGUAAAUUUUCAAAUGGUAAUAUCAUUUUUUACAAGGAACUGAAUACAAAUUCUGAUAAAAAAUCAGAGUGCUUGAAGAAUUGAAGUUGUUUCAUAGCUCAAGAAUUCAGGUUGGUACAUUUAAUAGUGCCAAAGGACAAUAUGAAGUGCUGACUUCUUGCUGAUUCUGGGACUAUUUUUGUGAGAUUUAUUAGCUGAUAUAAAAAAAUCAGAGACUCAAAGGAAACCGGGGAUUAGAUGAAGCUGUGUAUACAGAGCUGGAUCUGCUGAAGCUGUUUUCUGAUUACUGAAAAUGCAGUGCAGUGCAGUGCAGUGCCAAAGAAAUCUGCAUGUUUUGUGAAGAAUUGCAGAGGCUACUGAUCUUGGAAUGUUAGUUGAGUGCCAAAUAUAAGUGUUGAUACUUAACCUGAAAAUUAUUCUGCUGAAGUGCAUUUCUGGAGCUGAAACUUAAGUCCACCAUUUCUGAAUUUUUCAGAAACUGAACAUCAAUGUUGUACCAAACUUUUUGAAGCAGCUCUCAAAUCAUUGAGAAACUCGAGUAAAACUCUUGUAUUUUCAGUGACAAAUGAUGUUCUUCUCCUUCCAUGACUUCUACAAACUCUAGAUUAGAACUUCAGAGCUAAAACUUACUGAAUCAAUUCAAGGAAAUGCAGGAACAGAACUGAGAUAGUGGUUUGUAGCUGCUGAAAUCUGGCAUUGGGAAGUAGGAUUUGUAAUUUAAUUGGUAGGUAUCAUUCUAUUUAUAUAGCACUUCACGAUGUUUUCAUAAAUUCUGUAAAUGAAGAAUGGGAAGGGUGGUACUUGAUACUCAAAAUAGUGAGGUGGAAGGCUGAAAAAUUAAAAACUUGCAGAAAUUUACAGAAAUAUUUACUGCAGAAAACAGAGAAAAGAAAAAAAAAAUUCUGCAGCAUUCCUGGAAAUUGGCCAGCUGCAUUUCAGAGCUGAAUUUGUGUGCCAUUGUAGGAAGAUGUGGUUAAGUCUGGCUGAAGAUCAAUUGAAAACGAAAGGAGAUCUUUGCUGCAAAAACAUAAAUGAACAGAGAUGAAAGUAUUCAGCAAAUGCAAAUUGUGCAGAUUAGGGCAGCUUUGUGCCAAAUUGAGAAAUGAAUUUGAGUCAUUUGGAGAUGUUGAAACCUGUAAGCUUUUCAGUAGUGCAUUGUAAAGGUUCUGAAGAAGCAAGACGAAGAAGUACUGAGAUUUUUGGUGGGUAAACAAGAUUUUUGAAAAUGCUGAAAUCGAUUUGGCGCUUGAUUUAAGGGGCUGGAUUAGUAGAAUCUUGGGAAGAGAUGACAAGUUCAUUCAAGGUUAAAACAUGCUGGACAGAAUGCUGACAGUAUUCAAAUGCUGGAAUUCUGAAAUUGCAGUACCAAUCUGAAAACUUGCAGCAGUGAAAGGAAACUGAAUCUGAUUUCUGCUUUUUGAAGUUGCUGGAAGAAGUGUGUGCUACCUAAUUCUGAAACUGAACUACAGAUUACAUAAUCUGUGUUGGAUCUGGUGUUAGAAAUAUUGAACCGGAUGCAAAGCUUUGGGUUGAAACUUCACUACCUAACCAUGGAUUAGGUAUCUAUUGCAAGAUUGUAUCAAGGUUAUGGAAGGAGAAACAGAAUUAACAGAAAUAAUUCAGAAGGUGGACUUGAUUGUCUACUAUAAUGUUAUGUAGAAGUGAAUCAUGGAUACUGAAACAGAGGGAAAGAUGAAACAAUUCUGCAGAUUAUCAAGUUUUUGGGUACUAUCAGGGAGUGCAGAACAGAAAGUCAGAUGUAUCAAAAUGAAGAAACUGUGCAGGAAAUGAAGAGCUGGAAUUCGGUAUCAAAGUGUAUCAAAAAUCAGAUGUAACAUUUUAAUGAUUGAAACGUUCAAGGGAAGAUUUGUAAGAUGCAGAAACAAAUGGUAUUUCAGACUUUUCAUGACCAUGAUGAACUCUAGGAACUGAAAUGAAGAAUUUCAAAACAUUUUUGUGCAUAAAAACAGUGGCUGUCUGAAAUGCAGAAUCUGUGCAGAAUUGCAACAGCUGAGAGCUGUCCCAUGGAGUUAAAAUGUAUUUAGCCUCAAUUGAUUCUUAAGUGCUUAGGGAAUGAAAUGGGACAAGUGAGUUCAGAGAUAUUUCCUUCAAGGAUUAUAAUAUAAGCUUUAGAAUGUACAAGGAAGACAAAAAGAAAUGUUUUUCUGCAGAAAUCUACAGCUCUUUGUGCCAGAAAUCAGAAAUAGCCUUAAAACCAAUGUGAAACUCAAUUGCUGCUGAUGAAGAAGUUCUGAUGAAUGUGUGCCAAAUUUAUACUUGGUGUUCAAAGCUUCUGAUAAGUAAAAUUCAAGUAGAACACAGACUUUCCAUUGAUACUUGGUGUACCUACCACUUCAAAUCUCCAUUAAUUUAAAGCCUGCAACCUGAUGUGAAUUCUGAAAUUGUCCAGCAGAGAUGAUUUCAUCAAAAGCUAAGCUAAUAGGAAGAAGUUGAAAAUUCCAGAAAUUGAAGAAAUGUGGAAUUCAUUAUGGAACUGGAGUAAGCUUUCAAUCUGCAACGAUCUACAAGUGAGAUCCUGCCAAUGAAUUCAGAAAAAUGAAUCAGUAAUUCUGUGAAAGAUUGUUUCUGGAAUUGAAACAUGGUGCAAGGGAACCAGAAUUCAGAAUCGAUUUCAAUUCUGUUUCAGUUCUGAUUUUGUACUGUUGGAGUGAAAUGUUCAAGAGAAGAGCUGGAUCAUAACUGUAGUGAUAAGGAAUUCGUUGUAUCUCUGGAUUGCAGAGGUUUUACAACAAAUGAAAUCUGGUUAUAAUUUCGGAGUUGCUGAAUUUUAAGCUAAAAUUCUGCUGCUAACAGGACAGCAGGUUCUCCUCUGCUUAUGGCAAGUGCAUGGAGUUUGAAUUGACACUUCAUGGAGCUAAAAUUUUGAUCUUCUUUGACUUAAAAUGCUUGAUGCUAUAAUAUGUAAAUGGAUUCUGAUUUCUGGAAAUAAGGCAAUGCCCAAGCUAAUCUAGACAUAGCUACAAGUUGCAAAUGAAGAAAAGAUUCUGGAAGUUUAAGUGUAGAGCUAUUUGAUCACUGAAAAAUCAUAUCCCAGCUGUUGUUCGAGUAUGGUUAAAUGAUGAUCUUGUUUCUCUAUAACUUGCAUGAUUUGUAGACUGUGAAAUGAAUACGAAAACAGAAAAACAAGCUGAAAAUUUGGACUGUUUUGAAGCUGUUUUCUGAUUACUGAAAUUACAGUUAGCAAGAAUUCAAUUUCAAGCUGAAUUUUCUUUUCUUCUAUCAGUAAGUCUUGAAGAGUAUUCAAUUGAUGACAGUCAUGGACAUGAGGAAGCUCCAGAUUAGAACCAAAUCUGCUGAAAUUGAUCUAGGAAUUUAUUCCUGCUUUGUUGAGAGAGGUGCAGAAAAAGAUCUGGGUAUCAUGUGUAAGGGUCAGCUGGAUUACUGCAGAAUGCAGUUUGAUCCUUCAUGUAUUGAAUUCUUGGUGCAAUUCUCUGAUAAUUGAAGUGUUGUGAUG